GAUGAAGAACGCAGCGAAAUGCGAUACUUGGUGUGAAUUGCAGAAUCCCGUGAACCAUCGAGUCUUUGAACGCAAGUUGCGCCCGAAGCCUCUAGGCCGAGGGCACGCCUGCCUGGGCGUCACACGCCGUUGCCCCCCCAUCUACUCCUUCGGGAUUGCGGGGGGGCGGAUGAUGGCCUCCCGUGCGCCUAGCCGCGCGGUUGGCAUAAAUACCAAGUCCUCGGCGACGCACGCCACGACAAUCGGUGGUUGCGAAACCUCGGUUGCCCGUCGUGUGCGUUCGUCGCGCAUCGAGGGCUCGAAAAAAUGCUCGGCUCCGGCUGGGCUUUCAACGCGACCCCAGGUCAGGCGGGGUUACCCGCUGAAUUUAAGCAUAUCAAUAAGCGGAGGA
rnacentral:misc_RNA from 1 species